rnacentral:rRNA from 1 species
UACGAAGGGGGCUAGCGUUGUUCGGAUUUACUGGGCGUAAAGCGCACGUAGGCGGAUCGUUAAGUCAGGGGUGAAAUCCUGGAGCUCAACUCCAGAACUGCCUUUGAUACUGGCGAUCUUGAGUCCGGAAGAGGUGAGUGGAACUCCUAGUGUAGAGGUGGAAUUCGUGGAUAUUAGGAAGAACACCAGUGGCGAAGGCGGCUCACUGGUCCGGUACUGACGCUGAGGUGCGAAAGCGUGGGGAGCAAACAGG